GCAGACUCACUCUGUACCUGACUGCAGCCUCCAGUUUUGGUGCUUUUUAAGUCUGCUAAAUAAAACUCCAAGAUCAACAUUGAGGCUUUCAUACUUUUGAAGAAAUGCUACUUGUAGAUCAUGGGAUACUUAU
rnacentral:snoRNA from 1 species